CAAUGGAGAGUUUGAUCCUGGCUCAGGACGAACGCUGGCGGCGUGCCUAAUACAUGCAAGUCGAGCGGAGCACUUCG
rnacentral:rRNA from 1 species